UGGAAUCUGGAGCCUAGGAUCACUUGAAAACGUCAUGGAAGGAACAGGGGGAAGAAAGUGGAAAAAACUGAGUUGGGCGUGGCUGACCUCCGGUGAACCAUGGCGCAACUUCCAGAUCACCCGGGGUCCGCACGGCGAUGAGAAGGGUGAUUCUGCGGCCACAAGAGUAACUGGAUCCAAGAGAAGCUAGCCGAGAGCCCCAAUAUCUCUUCUCCUCUCUGGUGUUCCUAUGAAGAAUACUGUUUGGUUGGAAUCUGGAGCCUAGGAUCACUGGAAAACGUCAUGAAAGGGCACCACCUCAGGGAAUUGCAAAAUGCAGAAAACGUCACGGAAUGUCACGACAGGUCCCGAAUGGACUGCGUUCCCCGAACUGCAAGGGCGUUAUUGAGAGACUUCACCUUCUCGGGAAUAGAAUCCUGUGUUUUCCUCCUCUCCAAGGAAAGACCAGAGAGCCACGGUAGCCCAGAGCCCCACUAGCUUUUCUCUACUCCCAUGGUCCUGUGAAGAAUAUACUGUUGGCUUGGAAUUUGGAGCUUAGGAUCACUUCAAUAAUGUCAUGGAAGGAACAGGAGGAAGAAAGUUCACAAAACUGAGUUUCACGUGGCUGAACUCCAGUCAACCAUGGUGCAACUUCCAGAUCGCCUGGGGUCCGUACGGUGAUGAGGAGGGUGACUCUGUGGCCACAAGAAUACCUGGAUCCAAGGGAAGAAUAGUGCCGGGAGGAAUCGGGAAGAAUCCGAAACGAUCGGCUCGGUGUGGGCGGAUCCCGUGCCAACGUCGACGAUAGAUACAGACCCUUUGGAGGCUCCUUGCGUCAGAGGAGUACGAACGUAUGACGGGAAGAAAAAGAGAAAGCAAGGCCAGCGCAGAGCCCCACCCGCUCUUCCUCACUCCCACGGUCCUCCGCAGAAUGGUAGCCGGGAGGCAUCCGGACGAACGUGCCACGAUCAAGUCGAUGUGGGCCUAUCUCUCGGCGACGUCGAAGAUACACACGGACCAUUCGGAGGAAACCCGGCUCUGAGGGUCACGAAGCCAUGACGGGAAGAAAACCAGAAGCCAA